GACGAAGAACGCAGCGAAAUGCGAUAAGUAAUGUGAAUUGCAGAAUUCAGUGAAUCAUCGAAUCUUUGAACGCACAUUGCGCCCGCCAGUAUUCUGGCGGGCAUGCCUGUUCGAGCGUCAUUUCAACCCUCAAGCCCAGCUUGGUGUUGGGGAUCGGCACAGGCGCCCUCGGGCGCCCGCCGUCCCCUAAAUCUAGUGGCGGUCCCGCUGCAGCCUCCUCUGCGUAGUAGUUUUCUCCUCGCAAGGGCAGCUCGGUGGCGACCUCGCCGUAAAACCCCCAACUUCUGAAAGGUUGACCUCGAAUCAGGUAGGAAUACCCGCUGAACUUAAGCAUAUCAAUAAGCGGAGGA
rnacentral:misc_RNA from 1 species